AACCUCCGCAAUGUGAGAAAUCGCGACGGGGGGAUCCCAAGUGCCAUUCUUAACGGGAUGGCUUUUCAUUAGUGUAAAGAGCUUUUGGAAUAAGGGCUGGGCAAGACCGGUGCCAGCCGCCGCGGUAACACCGGCAGCUCUAGUGGUAGCAGUUUUUAUUGGGCCUAAAGCGUCCGUAGCCGGUUUAAUAAGUCUCUGGUGAAAUCCUGUAGCUUAACUGUGGGAAUUGCUGGAGAUACUAUUAGACUUGAGACCGGGAGAGGUUAGAGGUACUCCCAGGGUAGAGGUGAAAUUCUGUAAUCCUGGGAGGACCGUCUGUUGCGAAGGCGUCUAACUGGAACGGUUCUGACGGUGAGGGACGAAAGUUAGGGGCGCGAACCGGAUUAGAUACCCGGGUAGUCCUAACUGUAAACGAUGCGGACUUGGUGUUGGGGUGGCUUUGAGCUGCUUCAGUGCCGAAGGGAAGCUGUUAAGUCCGCCGCCUGGGAAGUACGGUCGCAAGACUGAAACUUAAAGGAAUG
rnacentral:rRNA from 1 species